CUAAAGCAUGUGCCACCAUAUUACAAGUCUGAGGCAAGACACAACACUUGCAACAGAAAACCCACACACAACUGGGAUUUGAUACUCCUCACAAUAGCUCCUAGAUUCGCUAGAUCAUAAUCUUUAGAAUUUGCUACCCUCAUUAGAUCUAUUGAAUCCAUUUCAAACAAUACCUUUGUCGCACCCCAUAUGAAUAGCCAUUUUUAUAUCAUACAACAAAG
rnacentral:lncRNA from 1 species